rnacentral:pre_miRNA from 1 species
GGGGGUGGAGCACCAGAUCCUGGACUGUGUCUCCAGAGCCCUGGGCUUCUGGGCCUGCACUGCUGGAAUCGCGCUCCAGGGCCAUGCAGACCCCU